rnacentral:lncRNA from 1 species
AAAACUUCCUCCAUUUUUCAAGAAAAUCAGCUUGACUAGUUGUGGAAUUUGAAAGUUUAGAUAUUGGUGUGGGAGGAGUACUAGUUGAGGGUACUGAUGAAUUUGUGUUGAAAUUACUGAAGGCUUCGCGAAAAGAUUCAAUCUUUGAUCUAUCAAGAUAUCGAGGCAUGAUAUAUCCAUCAGAGAAAAUUUCAUCAGCUCAAACAGAUUCUGAAACAGGAUGAACAUCAAAGUUGAAGUUUUGUUCUUCUUUUAGGGAUCUUUUCAAAUAAGUGAUAAAUUUUAACUCUUCCUCAGCAUCAUCAUGACUACUAUAAGAGGGUCUAGGGGAUUCUGUUAGGCCAUCAAUGGAUGGUUAUCUGUUCAACAACCAGCUAUAUGAAAAAACAUGAAAAACUCUCUGUGGCAACAGGUUGUUGGGAAUUUUCCAUAGUGAACAGUAUACUACAAUACACCCUCUUUACUUCACCUGAGGUAGUGGUAUGAUCUGUGUACACUUUAUUUUUCCCAGAUCCCACUAUAUGGUAAUACACUGGGUAUGUUGUUGUUGUUGUUGCUGAAUAGUAUACUAUAAUAUGGGAAGAAAGGAAAAGAAAAAUGAGAUGCUUAUAUAAAGAAUUUACAGGUUACCGCUACAAAAGAUUAAAACACACUUGUUGUAAAAAAAAAAAAUUUAAGUUGUCAACGUAUAUAAGUUAAAUCUCCAUAAAAAUAAAUGUUUGGCUGAGAAUAGAGGGACUCACGUGAGCUUAUUAUACAGAGUGUGUAAAUUGUAAGUUGUCUCAUCAUUCUUUGAGGAGGAGUUGUUUAUAUAGCAAAAUAUCACAAAAAUAAAAGGAAGAAAAAUAUUUGAUAAUUCAAUCAAGGAGAUUAUUCAAUGAGGUAAAUCACUUAACUCCACCAAUCAUGCUAUGGUUGCCACAAAUAAACAAAUAAGAAUCUGUCUAAAUCUUAAUAUUGAAAUCUUCCAUAAACGAAAUAAGGAAAAAAAAUUCUCCCUACUUAUCAAUAGGGUUAUGGCUGUUGUCAAUAGAUUAGGGUUUAAAAGGAAAGAAUAGGAUCUUGAUCUCAGCCGUCAGAUUAGUUACAAUCCAUGGUUGAGAUCUCAAGUUUAGAAUUUGACCAUAAAAAUUGAAUAAAACUUUAGAUUGAGCCAUAAUUGGCUAUAAUUGUAAUAAAUUAAAUAUAACUAGGCUAAAAUUGUUAUGACUUGAAUAAAAAUUGGGCUGAAAAAUAAAAAAAUUAGGCAAAAU